GGGCUGGAGGGGACCUGGGAGGGCUUCCUGCCUGACUCCAUCACACAUGUCUCUGUCCAGCUAAUAACACCAUUACCAGGCAACAGUUUACUACCAUCAAGUUCAGUGCUUUGACUUUGAUCAACUGACUGGGUUUAUCCAAAGUACAGCACUUUGAAGAUGUCAUCCCAUUGUCUUCUGACCUCUAUAAUUGCCACUGAGAGAUCUGCUGUCAGUCUGCUUAUCCUUCCACGGACUCAAGUUUCUUCAAUCUGAAGAUACAUGUCUUUCUCCAGGGACAUGUGGAAAAAAAAAAGAUGUUAUACAACCAUCAAAGUGGCAAAAAUAAAAAAAAUCAAGUAUUGGCAAAGAUGUGGGGAAAAUUCUCAUAAGCUACUGAUGAGAAUUUAUAAAUUAUUAUGACACCUUUGGGUUGCAAUCUGGGGAUACUGGCAAAGCAGAAAAUUGUACAACCUGUGAUCAAGCAAUUAUAAUUUUAGGCACCCAUCGUAGAGAAAACUUGAAUUCAUAGAAAAA